AUCAUUUCUAGCUCUGUGAUCAGCAAAAAUGCUGCCUUCAUUCUCCUCUACCUGACAGAUCUCCAAGUCACAUAUGUGUCAGCUCACCAUUUGAUAUAGAGCAAGACCAUCCAGCAGAGAAACAAGCAGCUCUGCCAUCCUGUUACAGAGAUCUUGAAAGCAGAAAUGGUGAGACACAAGCAAAAUCGCCAGCACCAUGGCAGGAGGAGGUCCCAGCGCAGACGACGAGGCAGGAGGCAAGGAAGGAAGCAAGGCAAGAGAAGGAGAAGUGGAAGGACAGGAGGGGGCCAGCACUACCAUUACAGGAGGCGAGUGAUAUACUGAGACCCUGACUGCCUUCUCUGCCAUAUAUUACAAUGUAGAAACAAGCUCCCACAACACUUGCAUGACAAACAACUCUGCUUUCUGUGAAGAGCCUGGCAUAACGGUAGCCUGACAUAACAACUUACUGUCAAUAAACUGGGCUGGAUGCCUUUUGUCCUCUGUU